CCUACGGGAGGCAGCAGUGAGGAAUAUUGGUCAAUGGACGAGAGUCUGAACCAGCCAAGUAGCGUGAAGGAUGACUGCCCUAUGGGUUGUAAACUUCUUUUAUAAAGGAAUAAAACGAGGCACGUGUGCCUUUUUGCAUGUACUUUAUGAAUAAGGAUCGGCUAACUCCGUGCCAGCAGCCGCGGUAAUACGGAGGAUCCGAGCGUUAUCCGGAUUUAUUGGGUGUAAAGGGAGCGUAGAUGGGUUGUUAAGUCAGUUGUGAAAGUUUGCGGCUCAACCGUAAAAUUGCUAUUGAUACUGGCAGUCUUGAGUACAGUUGAGGUAGGCGGAAUUCGUGGUGUAGCGGUGAAAUGCUUAGAUAUCACGAAGAACCCCGAUUGCGAAGGCAGCUUACUAAACUGUGACUGACAUUGAUGCUCGAAAGCGUGGGUAGCAAACAGGAUUAGAUACCCUGGUAGUC
rnacentral:rRNA from 1 species